rnacentral:lncRNA from 1 species
GAAUAUGAACACAUCUAUUGCUUCACCAUGAAUGAUUGUACAUUACAAGAUCACCACCGGGAUACUACCUUGAUCUUGAUGACUAUUACCUCCAGAACUCCAGCAUGAUCUUCCUCGCAAGGUGAUCACGCUGGCAGAGAUUUGCCUACGCUAGCCUCCGACAACUGCACGAUCCUCGGCUCUCCGGAGAGGUGUCCCUCAAGCUCCUUCUACUUCUCUGCUGCUUCACAUUGAGUAU